CCCAUGUUCAAAAAAUGGAGGCGUUGGUACGAUCUGAGGAUAGAGUUUUCGGCCCUCUGAUGUUAAAAGAUGAAGCAGAGGACAAGACACCUUCUUCCUCCUACCCUUGGACAUGAGAACUCCAAAUUCUCCAGCUUUGGACUGUGGGACUUGGACCAGCAAACAUCUAGAUUUUCAGAUCUUAGGCAUUGGACUGAGUCACAUCAUCAGCUUCCCUGAUUCACAGGACUUCAGACUACGACUAAGCAGCACCAGCUUCCCUGGUUCUCCAGCUUGCAGAUGCCAUAUUUUGAGACUUCUCAGCCUCCAUAAUCAAUUGAGCCAAUUCCCCUGGCUCUUUUGGUCCUGGUGAGUCAUCCUACUGAUUUGAGUUUGUAAGAAGAUGAAAUUGGUGUAUAUACGUUUCUUCUGGAAUAGGAGAAGCAAGCAACCACAAAUCCUACAGCUGUACAGAACUGGAUGCUGCCAACGUGGAAACAGGGAAGUGGAUGCCUCCUUAGACAAGCCUAUGGAUGAGAACCAGCUCCAGAUGAUACCUUGAUUGCUGCUCUGAAAGAUCCUAAUCAUAGGACCCAAGGAAGCUCUGCCUGGACUCCGGAGUCACACAAACAGAUAAAUGUGUGUUGUUUUAAUCCACUACAUUCAGUGGUGGUAAAUUGUGUUACACAGCAAUAAAUAAUGAAUAUAAUGUAAAUUUGGUAGCUGUAGACAUUAGAACAUCUGUGAGAAAGCAAGUGUCUACUUAAAAUGUGACAUUCCAAAUAAUAUCCAAAUGCCUCCAGGCUCCACAGUCUGAGAGAGAGAAGGAGAGAGACAGAGAGAUGGAGAGAGAGAGAGAGAGAGAGAUGGAAAGAGACACAAGGAGAAGCAAAGUGAAUAGUAGUUGAAUGGGUUGUUUUCAUUUGGAACUUAGUGAGGUUUGGGCCAUAAGAAAUUCUAUCCCAGUGCCCAGGAGACAGAAGAUGACAGACUUGGGCUGGGAAAUAGAAACAUCUUAUUUUUCAUAUCGUCUCCCUCCCUCUCCCCACCAUCUUAGCCUAUUCUUUCUAGGUGAUAGAGCACAAAGCUGUGAAUGGCCCCUUCCCCAGCCACCUGGGUUCUUAAUCCUGUGAUAGGCCCAGCUCUCCCCCUAAACUUUCUUGCUCAUUAAUAAACUUUGGA